rnacentral:rRNA from 1 species
ACUGCUCAGUAACACGUGGAUAACCUGCCCUUGGGUCCGGCAUAACCCCGGGAAACUGGGGAUAAUUCCGGAUAACGCAUAUGUGCUGGAAUGCUUUAUGCGUCAAAUGGAUUCGUCUGCCCAAGGAUGGGUCUGCGGCCUAUCAGGUAGUAGUGGGUGUAAUGUACCUACUAGCCGACAACGGGUACGGGUUGUGAGAGCAAGAGCCCGGAGAUGGAUUCUGAGACAUGAAUCCAGUCCCUACGGGGCGCAGCAGGCGCGAAAACUUUACAAUGCGGGAAACCGUGAUAAGGGGACACCGAGUGCCAGCAUCAUAUGCUGGCUGUCCGGGUGUGUAAAAUACACCUGUUAGCAAGGGCCGGGCAAGACCGGUGCCAGCCGCCGCGGUAACACCGGCGGCCCGAGUGGUGAUCGUGAUUAUUGGGUCUAAAGGGUCCGUAGCCGGUUUGGUCAGUCCUCCGGGAAAUCUGAUAGCUUAACUAUUAGGCUUUCGGGGGAUACUGCCAGGCUUGGAACCGGGAGAGGUAAGAGGUACUACAGGGGUAGGAGUGAAAUCUUGUAAUCCCUGUGGGACCACCUGUGGCGAAGGCGUCUUACCAGAACGGGUUCGACGGUGAGGGACGAAAGCUGGGGGCACGAACCGGAUUAGAUACCCGGGUAGUCCCAGCCGUAAACGAUGCUCGCUAGGUGUCAGGCAUGGCGCGACCGUGUCUGGUGCCGCAGGGAAGCCGUGAAGCGAGCCACCUGGGAAGUACGGCCGCAAGGCUGAAACUUAAAGGAAUUGGCGGGGGAGCAC